rnacentral:rRNA from 1 species
GGCGGACGGGUGAGUAACGCGUGGGUAACCUGCCUCAGUACAGGGGGAUAACAGUUGGAAACGACUGCUAAGACCGCAUAACCCGGCUAGUGUCGCAUGACACGGACGGAAAAUAUUUAUAGGUAUGAGAUGGGCCCGCGUCUGAUUAGCUAGUUGGUAAGGUAACGGCUUACCAAGGCGACGAUCAGUAGCCGACUUGAGAGAGUGAUCGGCCACAUGGGACUGAGACACGGCCCAAACUCCUACGGGAGGCAGCAGUGGGGAAUAUUGGACAAUGGGGGAAACCCUGAUCCAGCCGACGCCGCGUGAGUGAAGAAGUAUUUCGGUAUGUAAAGCUCUAUCAGCAGGGAAGAUAAUGACAGUACCUGACUAAGAAGCCCCGGCUAACUACGUGCCAGCCGCGGC